CCCAGGAGCUCACUGGUUCACCCGGCUUCACCUCCCUUGGUUUCCGAAGCUUAAAAUAGACUGAACCGGUGUGGCCACAUUUCACUGUGCCACUCAGAGAGAGCCCCUAGGGUGUUUUCAGAGCUGGCUCUGAGCUCCCCACCAGCCAGGCUCCGGCCCUGAGUUAUUCAUACACACCCAGGCUCCACCGGGUCUGCCAGGGGAAAUGUGUUCUGAGAGCUUCUCAGCUGGGCAGAUCCACAGGCACCUUUGCUGCUCAGUGGGCUCCGAUCAAUCAGCCACUUUAGAGGGCGUGCGUAAGGAGGGGUUGUGAGACCCUCCUGGCAGCCGGCGUGAGUACUGCAGGCAACCUGAUGCAGAGGCAGAUGGAGGAUUUGAUAUUAUGAAAAGCAUCUACUUUAUUGAGAAUGGAGGUUUAACUACUUGGGUGUCCAUUCAGAAGAC
rnacentral:lncRNA from 7 species